UACAGAGGGGGCAAGCGUUGUUCGGAAUUACUGGGCGUAAAGGGCGCGUAGGCGGCCUGAUAAGUCGGGGGUGAAAUCCUGUGGCUCAACCACAGGGCUGCCUCCGGGACUGUCGGGCUCGAGCACAGUAGAGGCAGGUGGAAUUCCCGGUGUAGCGGUGGAAUGCGUAGAGAUCGGGAAGAACAUCGGUGGCGAAGGCGGCCUGCUGGGCUGUUGCUGACGCUGAGGCGCGACAGCGUGGGGAGCAAACAGG
rnacentral:rRNA from 1 species